CGGAAAUUGUGAGAAUGUGUAUAAUACUAUAGGAGAGUGCGGUUUAAUAUCACAUACAUCUACAUAGAUUGUUGAUUACAUGUUACGAAAUUUCAAACUUUACGGCAUUCAUCCUAAACGUGCUCAUUCUGACGACUGCCAGUGAUUGACAUUAGAAAACGAUCUUCCUUCAUGAAAUACUGAUGAUGUAAUGCCUACUGUACUGAGGAGGAUAUUUAGUGCCGUUCCUUCCCAGAUUUCAAUGGAAAAGAUUAUUGGAUUAAAGUGAUGCUUUGGAAUCAUUCCGAAAUUCAAUUUGCGUUAGAAAAUGAUAUCUAGGACAAAUAUAAAUUUCAGUUAGUUGGAUGAUAUUAUUCAGAAGCUAUCUUUGAAACUUGUUCUGCCAUCAAAACAACUUGGGACUUCAUCAUACCAUUAUGAGAUGUAUCAUAAAUUAUACUUAAUUUUUGUGCAUCGAAGGCUCUGCAUCUGAGCUGAAAUGGUCUAAUGAGAGACAAUUCUAUUAUUUAUACUUAUGGAGAAUAAUAGCUGAAGAUACAAAAGGUCAAUAAAAAGGCUGGCUAUACGAAAAUUCCUGGCAUCCUUAGCUCCAUGCAAUAUGAGAGCUAAAAAAUCCCUUUGAACAAAAAAAGAAUGGACUGCGGGAGAGAAUAUUGUUGUUGAAGAAAAAAUCAACUUGUCAAAUGAUUCAGAAUAAGUUUGAUUUCCUUUUGUAUGAAGUUAAGGUUAAAGAAGGUUAUUCAGGAAAGUUCUUCAUCGGGCUAACCAUUGUUCUCCAUAUACGGGACGAAAAAUUCCAAUAAGUACAAAGAAAAAUAAAGAUGAAAUUUUUAUUUAUUCUCAAAGCAGAAAGAUCCUGAUCUAUCCUGAUUUCACAGUUUCUGCGGAUACGUCAGAACGAAAAGGAUGGAUUUCAUUCGUCCUUUUUGCAAGAAAAUUCUGGCAACCUUAAGGAUGAAGACUAUCUUGAACUAGUUAACAGAGCACUUAACAAUUGGAUUAACUGACUUGAGACUUAAGUUGCAUUCUGAGCAUAAAGGUCCAUUAAUUACACAGCCAUUUAUUUUCCCUGAAACCAUCAAGAACAAGUUGAAUAUUCUACCAGGAUAUAAAGAAAAUCCAGGCCAAAUGGGAUGUUCAUAGGAUGGCAGAUUAUUAUUGGAAUCUACCAAUAGAUUGUGUUAUGAUAAGAGGUCUUGUUCAAAAUUGUGAUUGCGAAAUUUAAGAAGACAAGCCUCAGCAGUUUGGUUUACAUGUUACAUUGCAUCCAUUUUUCAAGAGCAGCAUGAAAAAAGAUUUUAUAAUAUGUGCCCGGCCGAAUUGUUAGAUAAUGAGUAAGGGUAUUUUUUAGUAAAGACAUACAAGGUAAUGCAGUCAUAAACACUGGUGGUAGGAACUAUGUUUAAUGCUCUUUUUUUAAUUUAUCAAAUAUGUAGUCCUUAAAAUUCAUCAUUAAUUUAAAGAAUUGGACAUAUAUAUGUGGAAUACAUGUUUUAAGUUAUUUAAUUUUCUGCUUUACUU